rnacentral:lncRNA from 10 species
GAAAGUAUCUCCAGGGAGAAAGGAGAUUUGCACCCAUGAUCAUCUGAAGGUAGAUACAUCAUAAAGAUAAGAUUUUCUAAAAGUUAUACACAAGAUGAAUGGAUUAACCACUGGAAGACCUGCACUACUACAAAUGUUAAAGAAAGUCCUUCCAAGAAAGAAAAAAGGCAACUUAAUGGAAACUUGUGUCUACCAAAUGGAAAGAAGAGCAAUGGGAAUCCUAACUAGGGUACACUGAAGAACACUUUUGCAGCUGACUAACAACUCUUGAUAUUGAGAAAGUUAUCAGAAUUAUUUGCAAAUCUCCUCUCAGAUUUGCAAAGGAUGCUGGCAUUUCUCCAUGAGGCAGGUAUACAAGCAACAUUUUGUGAAAUUGUUUGUCUGACAAAAUUGUGUGAAAUUUUCCAGAAUUAAAACAGCAUGUAAAAUUUAACUUCUAUAACUUUCUUUAAAAUAAAGGAAAACUGAAUGU